AAAAUACAAACACACAGCACAAUUUUUUUAUUAUUUAUUUUCCUUUUCUUUUCCAUCACAUUUAUACAAUACAAAUUCAAAACAUCAAAAUAAAAAUUACAUUAAUUAAUUUAAAAUUUACAAAAAACAGCCCCAACACAAUCUGGAAUUUAUGGGGCACCACCGGAACAGUGUUGGAAACAUAUUCUGGGCAGCUGAACACUGGCUGCGCGUCUUCCCACGCGCCACCGUCACUGGUUCUUUUCCUUCUUCAGAUCGAUCUUGCCUCUGUUUUCAUUCCUCUGCUGGUUGCUGGAUCUUCGGACGGCGGAGGGCUGGAGGCUGGAGCUGUUGCGGGGGAGAUCGGGUGGCUGUCCGGUCAGUGAGGAGAUCGCCUGCAGCUGUGUGGCUGUUGGCAAUUCUGCUGGCGUUCGGCGAGCCAGCCGCUGCUACUGGAGGCCGAAUGAAGGAGAGAAAGCUGGGUCGAGUGGAGAAAAUUAGAGGAAAAAGG
rnacentral:lncRNA from 1 species